GACGAACCGUGCGAACGUUAUUCGGAAUCACUGGGCUUAAAGCGCGUGUAGGCGGAUGGGCACGUCCGUCGCUGAAAUCCCCCGGCUCAACCGGGGAACGGGCGCGGAUACGACUCUCCUUGAGGAACGUAGGGGGACCUGGAACUUCCGGUGGAGCGGUGAAAUGCGUUGAGAUCGGAAGGAACGCCCGUGGCGAAAGCGAGGUCCUGGACGUUGACUGACGCUGAGACGCGAAAGCCAGGGGA
rnacentral:rRNA from 1 species